UGUCUCUGAGAGAUCUAGGGUGUAUUCGAACGUGAACGACGAAAGAACAUGAGAACACUUUCACGAGUCGAAUAUGAGAGAACUGUAUCCAUGGUGACAAGAUGAAUUAAAUUUAACUAAUUUAUUCAAUCUAUUAGUUUAUGAUAACUUAAUUGAUUAGUACUGACAUCGCUAUUGAGCAUAAUUUUGAUAAAUGACUCCGUUUUGCUCCUUUUCAAUUCUUUCAGUGAUGAUUACAUCGCCUUUUGAUAUGCUCACAUGGAAAUGGGAUCGCAUAGUGUCGUCGUCCACAGUUUCUUGUGAACACUUUACAGACAACAUUUAUCAUCUUAUUGUUUUGAAAUUGAUAUAUGUUGUUUGUUUUAGUGAGAUGAAGAAGGCUAUUUAAUUUCAAUAAUUUCCGUUAGUUUCUUCUGGAGUUAUGGCCCUUGUUUCACUUUGUUGCACCUUGUGAACACUAUAGUGACAAACGUUGUCAUCCGAUCUGUAUGAAAUUCAUUUGCAUCAUUUAAAUUAGUGAAACGAAGUUGCCUAUUAAAUUUUUGCAAUUUCUGUGAAUUAUGUCUAGGGUUAUGGCCCUUGUUUAACUUUGUUGCACCUUGUGAAUGCGUGAACAACAAAAUUAUCAUCGGAUCUGUAUGAAAUUUGUAUGCAUUAUUUAAAUUAGUAAAACAAAAAAAUCUGUCAAAUUUCAACAAUUAAGGCCCUUGUUUCAGUUUGUAGAACCUUCAUAAACCCACAAACGACGAAAAUUAUAAUCUGAUCUGGAUGAAAUUGUCUUGUAAAUGCCCCUAUUACCUACAAAAGAAUGAAUAUGUGACAACCCUUGUCGACCCUUCGGAUGAUUUAACUGCUGUGUGCGUAUGUUUCGUUGCCUGGCAACCUAUCUUACUUGAUGUUAUACCGGCCAUAUACUACAUGCAAUUUUCGAACGGUAUUAAACUUUUAAAUUAAUAAAUGCACUCAUGAUGCUGUUUUCUCAGCAGUUGUCGACGCGUCGACCAUGUUUGUUCUCGCCUCACACCAGCUAACGAGAUAGUGUAAGAAUUGAGAACGGGAAUGUGUUUGCGAAUGCAUUCCAGGCUGUUUGAAACCGACAAGAACCCAUUCUUCGUCCGUUCUCUGCACCGGAGCACUGUUUCGAUAUCAAACACUGUAAUUGGCUGAAACUAAAAGUGACUAAAUAAGUGAAUGGUCAGACAUACCCCUUGCAGUGUUUUGUUUGAUUAUACUUAAUCCCACUCAAACACUGUUGAACUGACUGAUGAUUACUUUCCCAAAUUAUGACAUGUAAACAGUUAAGUUAUUAACAACCAGUCUCCAUUACAGUGUAACAAAUCGAUCAGGAUUUACAUUUACCAGAACUCUAAUUAUGUUAAUGUAAAAGUGUAUAAUGAGAAUUACGGCUACGUAACAUUACAUCACAACAUACGAAAUUCAUUAUGAGUUAUUAAAUCGAGGAUAGCAGAAUAUUGCAGAAAAACUAAUUGUGUGAUAAACCAGGCUAUCCAAAUUGGUGCAAAAAUAGACGUUGUCAUGUAGAAUCUGUUGGACCAUGCAACAAAUGAACAGUAUUUUUACGAUCUUUUGAUACAUUUAAUCUAGAAACAGACUGUCAUGUUAGAUAGACCAAGUUUAUUAUUUACACCAGAAAUUAUGGAUAAAGAAAAUGUAACAUCUGACUUGGAUAGUCUGAUGAGUUUUACACCCUAGAGACGUUUCACAUCUUUUAUUUUCAAGUGUACCAAAACUUCCUAGCCUUCCAAUUCAUAUCAUCGUUUUGUAAUAUAGAUUUGUAAAUUAAACUUUUUUGUAAAGGAAUUUAGAAACGUCAAUGUCCAUCAUCUGUUUCAUAUGUAUAAAUAUCUAUUUCAAUUGCAUUAUAAAAUUAGAAGUUAACAGUUAUUUCAAGUGCUAUAAAUAUGUAUAUAAUUUUCUUGUAAAUAUAAGAUAUUUUUCAAUAUUGAAGCAUUAACUAUUGUAUUAUUUUCAAUGUAAAGGCCAGGACGUCAAAAGACCACCAAUAUAUCCAAUCCAUCAGUCCACCCUAUGAUUAAUCAAGAAACUGUUAAAUGGCAAUAUCUAUGGUAUAUGGUGUACAGUCUUAUAUGUAUUAUUCAGUGAUAUUUUUUUUAUCUUAUACUAGAUUAGUUUGUUUAUGUAAGCUUUUCUGUCUAAUAUUCAUUGUUAAUUAGGGGUUUGAAUAUACAUGUAUUUCGUAAGCAUGCAAUAAUGUACACUUAUUGAAUGGAAGCCUUGAUACUCGGCUAUUUCAUUUCUGUUUCAUCUGUCUUUCAUGUUAUAUGUUGAUUUCCCUUUCUAAAUGUUUUAAUCUAUGUGAUUUUUAUACGCCCACAUUGAAAUAUGGUCAUAUAUUUAUUUACGCCCCUCUCGGUCCGGCGUCCACAAUUGCUUGUGGACGCUCUAGAGGCUAAAGUUAAUAUCCGAUUGACUUUAAAUUUAUACACAGCGUUUAAGGUCAUGUGACGAAGAAGCCUAUUGAUUUUCAGCAAUUUCCAAUAUUUACUGCUAGAGUUAUGGCCCUUGAUCACUUCAAAAAAUCUUGUUGACACUCUAGAGACUAAAGUUAAUAUCCGAUUGACUUUAAAUUUAUACAAAGUGUUUAAGGUCAUGAGAUGAAGAAGCCUAUUGAUUUUCACCGAUUUCAGAUAAUUACUGCCAGAGUUAUUUCCCUUGAUCACUACAAAAAAUCUUGUGGACGCUCUAGAGGCCAAAGUUAAUAUCCGAUUGACUUUAAAUUUAUACAGUGUUUAAGGUCAUGAAAUGAAGAAGCCUAUUGAUUUUCACCGAUUUCAGAUAAUUACUGCCAGAGUUAUGGUCCUUGAUCACUUCAAAAAAUCUUGUGGACGCUCUAGAGGCCAAAGUUAAUAUCCGAUUGACUUUAAAUUAUUAAUACACAGCGUUUAAGGUCAUGAGAUGAAGAAUCCUAUUGAUUUUCAGCAAUUUCAGAUAAUUACUGCCUGAGUUAUGGCCUUUGAUCACUUCAAAAUAUCUUGUGGAUGCUUUAGAGGCGAAAGAUAAUAUCCGAUUGACUUUAAAUUUAUACACACUGUUUAAGUUCAUGAGUCGAAGAGCCUAUUGAUUUCCAGCGAUUUCCGAUAAUUACUGCCAGACUUUAAAUUUAUAUGCAGUGUUUGAUUUUCAAUAAUUACUGCCAAAGUUAUGGCCCUUGAUCACUUUGAAAAAUCUUGUGACGCUCUAGAGUAGUGGUUCUCAACUUUUUUUUGCCAAUGGCACACCUUGGAACACAUGAAAACAUAGCAGCACACCUGGCUAAAUAUAUAUAUGAAAAGUAUUUGCAAAAUAAAAACAUGGCAAGUCAUAGACGGCAUACAACUGUAGACACAGACUAGUCAUAGACACAUAGAAUGACUUAAACUAAAUAAAGAAAAACACAGCUAUGAACUUAAUUUAUUGCAGUGUUCGAAUUUCAUCAGUCACAUAACUGGCUUCUUUAUUAAGAAAUUUUUUUAGUGUGCUGUUCAAAAUUUCGCGGCACACUUAGGAAGAUCUUGUGGCACACUGGUUAUGAAUCACUUCUCUAGAGGUUUAUGUUAUCAUCCGAUUGACUUCAGAUUGAUACACAGAGUUUAAGGUCUUGAAACAAACAAGUAUAUUCAUUUUCAAUGAAUUUUGAUAAUUGAACAGCUAAAUCCAUGAUAUUAAAUAUUUCGUAUACUAAACGUUAGCAUGGGGCAGAAAUUUAUAAAAACUGAAAAAAUUGUAAUGAUUUUCUGAUAAUUACUUAAUGAGUUGUUACUCUUAAUCAGAUUUUAGUGUAUUAUAAAUGUUUCAUUACUACUGAAAAAGUAAAAAUAUGCGACAACUCUUGUUGACUGCCUGGACGAUUCAGCUGUUGGGGCGUAUGUUUCGUUGCCUGGCAACCUAUCUUUGUAUCUCUUUAAGAUGGAAACCCUUUAGUAUCAUUCACUGUCAUUAUAUAAUCAUACUAAGUUCAUAUGAAAAUAAAUACUAAGGUUAUAGUAUAACCUUUAUACUUAUAUCACUA